GAAAAGGAAGGAGCAGGGCAGAGGGCUCGUGUGGAUUAACACAACUCAUCCACCGCAAUCCCGCAUUGCUCGGAGGCUGCUGAAUCCCCGAUUUAGCCCGGCGAUGCAGAGCGGCUCUGGGUGCAAAGCUGUGUGCGAGGCUCAGCCUUGCCCCGUUCCCUGCCUUUUGGAGGUGAUUUGUUCUCUGCUCUCACUGCUCAGUUUUCCACGGGAAUCGCGGACUUCCCAGCCAAGCGGGAGCCCCGCAUUCUCCUGCACCCCCAGCCCCUUCAGCUGCUGAGGAAUUCAGAUGAGGACACAGCUCCGUCCGAGGGGAAACUGAGGCACGGAGGAGGCUGGGACCUGCGGGUGCCACCCGACCCUCCUCUCGCAGCUGCAGAGAUGCUGCCGCGUGUUCUGUGCCCUUGGCUUCAGCUCGGAGCAUCUUUUUGGAGGAGCUGUAAAUUCUAGGUGCCAAAGAGAAGGGAAGGAUAAAACAGCCGUAAAAAUCAGCCUGAUUGAAUGAUUUAUCCCGGCUCCCUCCGCACUCCCAAACUCUUCCCUUGACUCACAGCCUCCUUCCCCAGAUCCUGGGUUGUAUUUGGCCCCAGGGGUUUACAUUUGCAGGUGGAAAUUUAAAUUUGAUUUUUCAGCCGCAGCCAAAACGGAGCCCCAGGUCUCUGCAAAGGCCACGGGCUUUUCAACCCCUCUCCCAAACACGAUGUCCCCCCAGCCCUGGGGACCCCCGUGUGGCCGCAUUCCUCCUCGGUCCCUUUCUCAGCCGAGGUGGAGCCCUGCAGCGGGGACGAUGCCGGCCUCAGAAGAAGGCGCAUUGUUUCUUGGAGGGGUUGAUUUCUCCUGCUGUUUGUCUCUGCGCCUCCUCCGGGCUCUCUUUGGCCGUGCCAGU